CCUACGGGAGUCAGCAGUGAGGAAUAUUGGUCAAUGGGCGGAAGCCUGAACCAGCCAAGUAGCGUGCAGGAUGACGGCCCUACGGGUUGUAAACUGCUUUUAUACGGGAAUAACGCGCCUUACGUGUAGGUCCUUGCAUGUACUGUAUGAAUAAGGCCCGGCUAAUUCCGUGCCAGCAGCCGCGGUAAUACGGAAGGUCCGGGCGUUAUCCGGAUUUAUUGGGUUUAAAGGGUGCGUAGGCCGCAUGUUAAGCGUGCUGUGAAAUGUCCGGGCUCAACCCGGGCCUUGCAGCGCGAACUGGAGUGCGUGAGUCCGCGGAAAGCAGGCGGAAUUCGUCGUGUAGCGGUGAAAUGCGUAGAUAUGACGAAGAACCCCGAGUGCGAAGGCAGCUUGCUGCAGCGGAACUGACGCUGAUGCUCGAAAGCGCGGGUAUCGAACAGGAUUAGAUACCCCUGUAGUC
rnacentral:rRNA from 1 species